GGCUCAGAUUGAACGCUGGCUGGCAGGCUUAACACAUGCAAGUCGUGCGGUAACAGAGGAGAGCUUGCUCUCUUGCUGACGAGCGGCGGACGGGUGAGUAAUGUAUGGGGAUCUGCCUGAUGGAGGGGGAUAACUACUGGAAACGGUGGCUAAUACCAGCGUAAUGUCGCAAGACCAAAGAGGGGGACCUUCGGGCCUCUCGCCAUCAGAUGAACCCAUAUGGGAUUAGCUAGUAGGUAAGGUAAUGGCUUACCUAGGCGACGAUCUCUAACUGGUCUGAGAGGAUGACCAGUCACACUGGGACUGAGACACGGCCCAGACUCUUACGGGAGGCAGCAGUGGGGAAUAUUGGACAAUGGGGGCAACCCUGAUCCAGCCAUGCCGCGUGUGUGAAGAAGGCCUUCGGGUUGUAAAGCACUUUCAGUGAGGAGAAAGGUGGUUGUGUUAACAGCGCAACUAAUAUGAUGUUACUCACAGAAGAAGCACCGGCUAACUCCGUGCCAGCAGCCGCGGUUAAUACGGAGGGUGCAAGCGUUAAUCGGAAUUACUGGGCGUAAAGCGCACGCAGGCGGUUAAUUAAGUUGGGUGUGAAAGCCCCGGGCUCAACCUGGGAAUUGCAUUCAAGACUGGUUAGCUAGAGCCUCGUAGAGGGGGGUAGAAUUCCAUGUGUAGCGGUGAAAUGCGUAGAGAUAUGGAGGAAUACCGGUGGCGAAGGCGGCCCACUGGACGAAGACUGACGCUCAGGUGCGAAAGCGUGGGGAGCAAACAGGAUUAGAUACCCUGGUAGUCCACGCUGUAAACGAUGUCGAUUUGGAGUCUGUGACCAUGAGUCGUGGGUCUCCGGAGCUAACG
rnacentral:rRNA from 1 species